rnacentral:lncRNA from 1 species
AACCUUAAAUACCAUUAAAGUGUAUUUGAAGAGAUAGAGUGACCUACAUAGAUAUAAAUACAUAAAGAUAAAUUUCAACUGAAAAUGAAGGCUUUCACAAGAAAAAUAAUGAAAAGAGCUCUGAAGGCUACUUCCUUUCCUGGCCAGUCCUUGCAGUUUUGUUUUACUGAAAUGCUGCCCACUCAUGACACACACUGUGAAUAUUGUGCUGUUUAGAUCCACACUGUUGGAGCAGCUGCUUACCAAUUUUUGGUUCAAAUAGUUUCAUAGCACUGGGAUAUUUUCUAAAGACACGCAGAUUUGUGGUUAGCUGGUGUCCAGGAAGGCGACUUGAGUAGACCCAAUUUUAAUAGGGUAAAUAUAAAUUAUAUAAUAUUCCUGAAUCAUUUUACUGGCCUAUAUUUGUUAUUACAAUAAAUAAUAAUUGCUAAUUACCCUGAUCUGAUAAUAAAUAUAUUCAAAAUAUCACUAUGUACCCCAUGCAAUAUACAAUUGUUAGGUGUCAAUUAACUAAAUACUAUCACAUUGGGGAUUAAAGAAAAAAAACAAAGUAGGAAUCAUUCAUAUUUUGAGAAAUAGAUUAAUGAAAACUGUACAGAUAACAACAGAAGAGUAACACUUUCUGAGCUCUGAUUUUGUGGCAAACAUUUUUUAAGGGAUUAUAAUGGAUUAAAUCAAUGAACCUCUCUCCUCCAAGAUUUAGAGGUUAUUAACACAGCCAUUUCAGUUAAUUUGCCUGGAGGUCUCUGACCCUCUUAAACCCUCCUUUUUAUAAGGAAAAAUGUAGUUACAAACAGUUAUUUUCCUCAAGUCCACAUGUGUCAUCAUUCAUCUGGUUCUAACAAUACUCAUUGUAAAUUUGCUUAACUCGCAGAUUUAGUUUUCCUUUUCAGAAUCAGUGUACAAAUUAUUUUGUUCUGAUUUUAGCAAUCAAUUUAAGCGGAUCUUUGAUUAAUGUUUGACCAACUGGAAUUAAACAAACUAAAUUCCUUUAAAUAAUUAUCCUAUUCCAAAUUAAGUCUUCUUAAAAGGUUUAUACUUUUCAGCAUCUGCUAAUCUGGUUCCUUUUAAGUACUGAACCUUUCCUCAUGACCUUUAGAAUUCCCAGCCAAAUAGAUUAAAUCUUAACCCUGGUGGAGCUCACAUUGUUAAAACUUAGCAAUUUAAAUAGAAUCCAUAGACUCACUCUUCAGAAUUAAAGUGCAAACUACUUAGAGAUCAUAAAUACUUUUAAUAUCAGAUAAAUCAUUAAGAAAUUGCAUUCUGUACUCGACGACCACACUGGAACCUUGCCGGAGUCAAGAGAACUUGUCACUAGUAAUUAUGAAGACACCUUUACGGUGAGCGUAUUAAAACCCCUACCAGAGGUUUUCGAUGGGACUCAAGAGCAAGGGGUAGCCACCUGUGGGCGAGGGUUCCUUGCUGUUAACAGAACACGUUGCCCACCAGGCGAGUAUGCGACCCAAUCAGUCUCCAGGGUCUCGGUUCCCGUUGCGCCCUUCCCCGUGGCCACUGCGCUCAUUCAUGAGCCUAGGGUGAUCAGGACUCCGUCCUAUAAAGAACUGCAGGCUCAGUGAGACUCUUUUCUCGAGAUGGUGGGUGGCUCUGAAAAGAGCCUUUAUGUCCAUCAAAGGGGCCCCGGGGGCAGCGGGCGGCCUCACUUGCCCUUGGCCUUGUGGUGGCUCUCCGUCUUCUUGGGCAGCAGCACGGCCUGGAUGUUGGGCAGGACGCCGCCCUGCGCGAUGGUCACGCGGCCCAGCAGCUUGUUGAGCUCCUCGUCGUUGCGGAUGGCAAGCUGCAGGUGGCGCGGGAUGAUGCGCGUCUUCUUGUUGUCGCGCGCCGCGUUGCCGGCAAGCUCCAGAAUCUCGGCGGUCAGGUACUCCAGCACCGCGGCCAGAUAGACCGGGGCGCCGGCCCCCACGCGCUCGGAAUAAUUGCCCUUGCGGAGCAACCGGUGCACUCGGCCCACGGGGAACUGCAGCCCCGCGCGCGAUGAGCGCGACUUGGCCUUGGCGCGCGCCUUGCCGCCCUGCUUACCGCGACCGGACAUUUCCGAUUCAAGGGCAAAAGACAACAAGAAUCCAAAAGCGAGACCGAAAAC